rnacentral:tRNA from 1 species
UCAGAAAUAGUUUAAUAAAAAUUAUAAUUUUGGGAAUUAUAGAUAAAGAAGUUUCUUUUUUUCUGA